GAGAUUUGAACUCAGAUCUUCCUGAAUCCAAGGCUGGGAGCACACUGGGAGCUAGACAAUCUGUGAGUGGCUCUGGCACUGACUUAUGGAUUCCCUUGUCCGCAGUUUCAUACUUUUUCAGACAGAGGCAGAGAGCUUCUUCCGCAGCAUGGCUGGGCACCGUGCCGCAGCCACUAUGAAGAAAAUACAUCACAAUCUUGAAGAAAGCUUAUGAGGACAUCCUUCCAAAACCCUCUACAGAUGGGAGAGUCAAGAUAUUCUGCCAUCCUCACACACAAUGAAGAAAAUGUAAUCGAUUCACUCAUCCCUUACAGCCCCAACCUGUGAUCCUGUAACAACACAACAUGGGAUUAAGCACAGUAAGGCUUAUCGCUCAGGAUCUGGCUCAAGAGAAAGGUUUUAUUUUACUUUUUUUUGUCCAUUGCAGCUUUAAAGUCUAUCUACUAAGCAGCUAAGACUUGCUUCCACACAAGGGUCUACUAAGACUGAA